rnacentral:rRNA from 1 species
GAUGAACGCUGGCGGCGUGCCUAAUACAUGCAAGUCGAGCGAACAGACGAGGAGCUUGCUCCUCUGACGUUAGCGGCGGACGGGUGAGUAACACGUGGAUAACCUACCUAUAAGACUGGGAUAACUUCGGGAAACCGGAGAUAAUACCGGAGAAUAUAUUGAACCGCAGGGUGCAAUAGUGAAAGACGGUUUUGCUGUCACUAAUAGAUGAAUCCGCGCCGCAUUAGCUAGUUGGUAAGGUAACGGCUUACCAAGGCAACGAUGCGUAGCCGACCUGAGAGGGUGAUCGGCCACACUGGAACUGAGACACGGUCCAGACUCCUACGGGAGGCAGCAGUAGGGAAUCUUCCGCAAUGGGCGAAAGCCUGACGGAGCAACGCCGCGUGAGUGAUGAAGGUCUUCGGAUCGUAAAACUCUGUUAUUAGGGAAGAACAAAUGUGUAAGUAACUAUGCACGUCUUGACGGUACCUAAUCAGAAAGCCACGGCUAACUACGUG